ACCAGUACCGUGAGGGAAAGGCGAAAAGAACCCCGGCGAGGGGAGUGAAAAAGAACCUGAAACCGUGUACGUACAAGCAGUGGGAGCACAGGUUUACCUGUGUGACUGCGUACCUUUUGUAUAAUGGGUCAGCGACUUAUAUUCUGUAGCAAGGUUAACCGAAUAGGGGAGCCGGAGGGAAACCGAGUCUUAAUUGGGCGUUAAGUUGCAGGGUAUAGACCCGAAACCCGGUGAUCUAGCCAUGGGCAGGUUGAAGGUUGGGUAACACUAACUGGAGGACCGAACCGACUAAUGUUGAAAAAUUAGCGGAUGACCUGUGGCUGGGGGUGAAAGGCCAAUCAAACCGGGAGAUAGCUGGUUCUCCCCGAAAGCUAUUUAGGUAGCGCCUCGUGAAUUCAUCUCCGGGGGUAGAGCACUGUUUCGGCUAGGGGGCCAUCCCGGCUUACCAACCCGAUGCAAACUGCGAAUACCGGAGAAUGUUAUCACGGGAGACACACGGCGGGUGCUAACGUCCGUCGUGAAGAGGGAAACAACCCAGACCGCCAGCUAAGGUCCCAAAGUCAUGGUUAAGUGGGAAACGAUGUGGGAAGGCCCAGACAGCCAGGAUGUUGGCUUAGAAGCAGCCAUCAUUUAAAGAAAGCGUAAUAGCUCACUGGUCGAGUCGGCCUGCGCGGAAGAUGUAACGGGGCUAAACCAUGCACCGAAGCUGCGGCAGCGANNGUUGGGUAGGGGAGCGUUCUGUAAGCCUGCGAAGGUGUGCCGUGAGGGUUGCUGGAGGUAUCAGAAGUGCGAAUGCUGACAUAAGUAACGAUAAAGCGGGUGAAAAGCCCGCUCGCCGGAAGACCAAGGGUUCCUGUCCAACGUUAAUCGGGGCAGGGUGAGUCGACCCCUAAGGCGAGGCCGAAAGGCGUAGUCGAUGGGAAACGGGUUAAUAUUCCCGUACUUGGUGUUACUGCGAAGGGGGGACGGAGAAGGCUAUGUUGGCCGGGCGACGGUUGUCCCGGUUUAAGCGUGUAGGUGUGUGUUCCAGGUAAAUCCGGUUCACUUUAACACUGAGGCGUGAUGACGAGGCACUACGGUGCUGAAGCAACAAAUGCCCUGCUUCCAGGAAAAGCCUCUAAGCAUCAGGUAACAUCAAAUCGUACCCCAAACCGACACAGGUGGUCAGGUAGAGAAUACCAAGGCGCUUGAGAGAACUCGGGUGAAGGAACUAGGCAAAAUGGUGCCGUAACUUCGGGAGAAGGCACGCUGACACGUAGGUGAAGUGAUUUACUCAUGGAGCUGAAGUCAGUCGAAGAUACCAGCUGGCUGCAACUGUUUAUUAAAAACACAGCACUGUGCAAACACGAAAGUGGACGUAUACGGUGUGACGCCUGCCCGGUGCCGGAAGGUUAAUUGAUGGGGUCAGCGCAAGCGAAGCUCCUGAUCGAAGCCCCGGUAAACGGCGGCCGUAACUAUAACGGUCCUAAGGUAGCGAAAUUCCUUGUCGGGUAAGUUCCGACCUGCACGAAUGGCGUAAUGAUGGCCAGGCUGUCUCCACCCGAGACUCAGUGAAAUUGAACUCGCUGUGAAGAUGCAGUGUACCCGCGGCAAGACGGAAAGACCCCGUGAACCUUUACUAUAGCUUGACACUGAACAUUGAGCCUUGAUGUGUAGGAUAGGUGGGAGGCUUUGAAGCGUGGACGCCAGUCUGCGUGGAGCCGACCUUGAAAUACCACCCUUUAAUGUUUGAUGUUCUAACGUGGACCCGUAAUCCGGGUUGCGGACAGUGUCUGGUGGGUAGUUUGACUGGGGCGGUCUCCUCCUAAAGAGUAACGGAGGAGCACGAAGGUUGGCUAAUCCUGGUCGGACAUCAGGAGGUUAGUGCAAUGGCAUAAGCCAGCUUGACUGCGAGCGUGACGGCGCGAGCAGGUGCGAAAGCAGGUCAUAGUGAUCCGGUGGUUCUGAAUGGAAGGGCCAUCGCUCAACGGAUAAAAGGUACUCCGGGGAUAACAGGCUGAUACCGCCCAAGAGUUCAUAUCGACGGCGGUGUUUGGCACCUCGAUGUCGGCUCAUCACAUCCUGGGGCUGAAGUAGGUCCCAAGGGUAUGGCUGUUCGCCAUUUAAAGUGGUACGCGAGCUGGGUUUAGAACGUCGUGAGACAGUUCGGUCCCUAUCUGCCGUGGGCGCUGGAGAACUGAGGGGGGCUGCUCCUAGUACGAGAGGACCGGAGUGGACGCAUCACUGGUGUUCGGGUUGUCAUGCCAAUGGCACUGCCCGGUAGCUAAAUGCGGAAGAGAUAAGUGCUGAAAGCAUCUAAGCACGAAACUUGCCCCGAGAUGAGUUCUCCCUGAGACUUAGAGUCUCCUGAAGGAACGUUGAAGACGACGACGUUGAUAGGCCGGGUGUGUAAGCGCAGCGAUGCGUUGAGCUAACCGGUACUAAUGAACCGUGAGGCUUAACCUU
rnacentral:rRNA from 1 species